rnacentral:ncRNA from 2 species
UUUAAUAUUGUAACAUUAGGUUUCUUAAUAGAAUUAAUAGGGAAAGUGGUGAAAGUCCACUACAGCCCACGCUACUGUAAAUAGGAAAAAGUCUUAAUAGCCACUGAAAAUAUUUCGGGAAGGUAAGAUGAAAUGAAUCUAUAAGUCAGGAGACCUGCCUAAUGGGUGACAUAGUU